rnacentral:tRNA from 3 species
GGGCGCAUAGCUCAGCUGGUAGAGCAUCUGCCUUACAAGCAGGAGGUCAUAGGUUCGAGCCCUAUUGCGCCCACCA